GUUUUUAUAGUUUAACCUAAAACAUUGGUCUUGUAAAUCAAAAAUAAGAAUUAUCUUUUUAAACU
rnacentral:tRNA from 1 species